rnacentral:siRNA from 1 species
AAAACUAAACCCCGAAAACCCGAA